rnacentral:rRNA from 1 species
GAUGAACGCUGGCGGCGUGCCUAAUACAUGCAAGUCGAGCGAACAGACGAGGAGCUUGCUCCUCUGACGUUAGCGGCGGACGGGUGAGUAACACGUGGAUAACCUACCUAUAAGACUGGGAUAACUUCGGGAAACCGGAGCUAAUACCGGAUAAUAUAUUGAACCGCAUGGUUCAAUAGUGAAAGACGGUUUUGCUGUCACUUAUAGAUGGAUCCGCGCCGCAUUAGCUAGUUCGUAAGGUAACGGCUUACCAAGGCGACGAUGCGUAGCCGACCUGAGAGGGUGAUCGGCCACACUGGAACUGAGACACGGUCCAGACUCCUACGGGAGGCAGCAGUAGGGAAUCUUCCGCAAUGGGCGAAAGCCUGACGGAGCAACGCCGCGUGAGUGAUGAAGGUCUUCGGAUCGUAAAACUCUGUUAUUAGGGAAGAACAAAUGUGUAAGUAACUAUGCACGUCUUGACGGUACCUAAUCAGAAAGCCACGGCUAACUACGUG